GAGAGGGAAGACCUACUCUUGGAAAUGUCUUUGUAGAAGUAUAAUGUUCACUAGACAAAAACCAUACUUGUGUUACAAGACUCGCAAAUAUUUCAUUAACAGCAGUCUAAUUUUUUAUUAGGUGAAACUGAAUAGGACUACAGCAGCUUCUGCUCUCAUGCCACAUUCCCUUGCUGGGGCCUGAAAGAACUAAAGAAUAUUCAAGCUACUUGCUAGUGGGAUCAGAAGACAUUUGUUCUUCUGGGUAUAUGCGAAGCCAGAAAACCAAAAUGGUCCAAGUGGUAUGUGUGCUGUUAGAGGAUUGAUUUGUCACAUCAGACAGAAAGAAGUUGAUUAAAGUGCACAUUGGAACAACUGUAUUACAAGUUGGACCCACUGGGAACAGUAGUGACUCCUAGAUCUCAAGGAAAGAAUAUCUGAAAACAUACAGAUCAUCCAAAAAGGCAGAAAACCUUCGCAUCUCUUUUUCUAUAUUCUCAUACCUUAAUCUUAAUGAAAAUGCUUAGACCCCUGAUUUGUGAAGAAUGAGGAUCUCACUCAUUGGGAUUCAACACAUAAAUAUAUUUUACCCUGUUCUAGAAGGAGAUUCAGAAAUUCAGCCUGGACUAUAUUGAACUGUAUGUUUUCACUCUGUGCUUGACUUUCAAAUUCUAAUGCCUUAAGUAGAGAGAUUUGUAACCAAGGAAACAUGAAGUGGAAUUUCUCUUAUUAUUCAGUAAAUUUGACACAAACUACAGAAAGCAUCUAUCCAUUAACACUCUGAAGCUAGAAUGUUGUCCUACUUCCUUUCCUAGAAUUUCUCUCUGUCUUUGAUAAAUGACUUAUAGCUUCAAUGUCAGGUAUCACGGAUAUACAGACCAUGGUAGAAGAAACUGGAAAAAAAAAAGCAAUUAUUUUCCUUGGCAUAUAUGAAGAAAGAUUUAUGAUUUCUGUUUCCUCCAUAGAUGAAAUGUUUCUUGUAGAGCUAUAGUAUCCUACCCAGCCGUUCCCUCAGCCAAGGGUCAUAACGGGGUGUCAAAGAUUCUGGAAUGUUACGAUUAUCUGGUUUCAAUUAUUAACAGUUUUGACAGCUUUCAGACAUAGCUAAUUCUAAGAAAGUGCUGAUAAGAAUAGUGAUGAUGUUCUGAUUAAUGCACAUAAUCAGGACUAAGAAGACCAAAGUUAAUCCUAUAGGUUGGCUACAGAAUUCUCUGUUCUGUUUAAAGCAAUGUUCAAGAUUUCUUAAGGUUAGUUAGACCCCAGCUGGGCUGAGUAUUGAAGAGAGUAUGAACUUGGCUUUUUAGUAAAGGAGAGAAGGUGAUUAGAAAUAAUUAAUUAAUGCCAAACGAACUCUUUGGCUUCCACUGCAGAAGUAAAAGGAACAACCUGCAUGACUGAUAAACAUAAUACUGAAAUUUCCAGUGUUUGAGCUUAUGGUUUGUAGUUUUUUUCUUUCUCUGUCCACAGCCAUCUGAAACAUACCAAAUAUACUAUUCUGCACAAACUAGAAGGGUUAUCCGUGUUGCUGUCGAUGAUAUGUAUGCAGUUUGGGUUGCAGACGAGUCAUCCAACUGCCACUUGCAGUGAAGCCUUUCUGUGAAAUUUGUUAAGAAUUUGAGAAUAAAAUCAAGGUCUUGAAUUGUGA